rnacentral:rRNA from 1 species
UACGAAGGUGGCAAGCGUUGUUCGGAUUUACUGGGCGUAAAGGGCUCGUAGGUGGCCAACUAAGUCAGACGUGAAAUCCCCAGGCUCAACUUGGGAACUGCGUCUGAUACUGGAUGGCUUGAAUUCGGGAGAGGGAUGCAGAAUUCCAGGUGUAGCGGUGAAAUGCGUAGAUAUCUGGAGGAAUACCGGUGGCGAAGGCGGCAUCCUGGACCGAGAUUGACACUGAUGAGCGAAAGCUAGGGGAGCAAACGGG